AAACCAACAGGGAUUGCCCUAGUAACGGCGAGUGAAGCGGCAACAGCUCAAAUUUGAAAUCUGGCGCAAGCCCGAGUUGUAAUUUGUAGAGGAUGCUUCUGGGCAGCGGCCGGUCUAAGUUCCUUGGAACAGGACGUCACAGAGGGUGAGAAUCCCGUAUGCGACCGGUUGGCACCCGUCACGUAGCUCCUUCGACGAGUCGAGUUGUUUGGGAAUGCAGCUCUAAAUGGGAGGUAAAUGCCUUCUAAAGCUAAAUACCGGCUGGAGACCGAUAGCGCACAAGUAGAGUGAUCGAAAGAUGAAAAGCACUUUGGAAAGAGAGUUAAAAAGCACGUGAAAUUGUUGAAAGGGAAGCGCAUGCAACCAGACUUGUCGGCGGUGUUCCGCCGGUCUUCUGACCGGUCUACUCGCCGUCGGCAGGCCAGCAUCAUCUGGGCGCGCCGGACAAAGGCGUCGGGAAUGUGGCUCCCUCGGGAGUGUUAUAGCCCGGCGUGCAAUACGGCGCCGCCCGGGUGAGGUCCGCGCUUCGGCUAGGAUGCUGGCGUAAUGGUUGUCUGCGAC
rnacentral:rRNA from 1 species